UUUUGCAGGCCUCCCUGCUGCUAUUCUCUGAUGCUUUCUGGUCCUGCAGCUCCUCCUCCUCGCCUGGUCACCAGCCUUCUCUUAAAAUGCAAAGAAGGAGAGGAGCGUGGAGAUACAGCAGCGAUUCCCUCUGUGCGCGUGGGAGGAAGAGGCCAAAGGCAGAGGGCAAGUGAGUGGGCUGCUUGGAAAGGAAGGGGCCACAAAAACCCUGAGCCAGCGCUGAUCGUUUGUCGUGCAAAAAAAAGAGGGCUGUGAUUAACAUGAAUUUGCCAUUACACUACUGGUGAAGAGAGAUCCUUCAGAGGAGUCUUCCUGAGGUUGCAACAGGCCCAGGGAACAGAGAAAGGAGCACCCUUUGUCCUUGACGUACCCACCCUAAGCUCCUGUUUGAGGCACAGGUGGUCUCCGUGCAGAGUGCCUUCCAGCAACUUAGGCUGGUGGCCUAACUACAACCCUAUCUGAACAUGAAUAACUUGGCUACAGGAAUGUACACUCUGGUAACCUCAAGAAUGAACUGUUGCAAAGCCCUUUAUGUGGGGCUGCGUUUGAAAACAGUUUGGAAGCUUCAAUCAGUGCAGAAUGCAGCUGCCCAAAUGUUGACAGGUCUGAGACAAACUGAUCAUGUAUCACCAGUUUUGUUCUAGCUACAAUGCCUGCCUGUAUGCUUCAAAGCCCUAUUCAAAAUUCUGGUUUUAAUGUAUAAAGCUGUUUACAGCUCAGGUCUCCAAUAUCUUCUGGAACAUCUUUCCCAGUAUAAACCUACCUUCAUCUUCUGAGGCCCUUCUCUUUGUCCCUCUCUGAUGGAGAUUUGGAGGGUGAUGACAAAGGAGAAGCCUUCUCAGUCCCCCAUCUGUGGCAUGCUCCCCUCGGUGAGGUCUGCCUGGCACCUUCACUGACAUUUUCUGUGACAGAGAAAGACUCACCUUUUCCCCUUGGCUUUUGAUGAACUAAGCGGAUUUUGUUCUGCUCUUACUAUGCUGCCAAAGCUUCCUGUGGUUGUUAGGGGGAGGGCCUUUGUUUUUUUUAUGUCCAUUUUUUAUGUCAUGUGUAAAUGACUUGUAGGUGUUUGUAAGAGACCGUUAAUGUUUUAUAUGAAUUUCUAAUGGUAUUAUGCCUUUAUGUUUGUAAUAGUAAAUCACUGGGAGUCCUUGGUAACAAGUGAUGAAUAAAUCUAAUAAAUAAAACAAAUAAUAAUUCAGUUUUUAAAGCAAAGAAGGCAC